GUCCUUUCGGGGACAUCUGAUAAAAUUGGAACGAUACAAAGAAGAUUAGCAUGGCCCCUGUGCAAGGAUGACAUGCACAAAUCGAUAAAUGGUCCAAAAUUUU
rnacentral:snRNA from 1 species